GUACAUCGAUGGUUCAGUGGUAGAAUGCUCGUCUCCCACACGGGCGGCUCGGGUUCGGUUCACGGCCGACCACA
rnacentral:tRNA from 1 species